ACGAUGGUUGCCAUAACCCUUGAGUCUGAGGUAGAAAACAAACACAUGAAAAGUAACAAUAUAAAGGAUACAGAAGAUACGAAGAAGACGAAAAGUGAAACAGAUCCGAAGCUGCCACUCGUUACAAGUCAGGGUCCCAAGCAGCCUGAGUUAGGAGAGAAGCUGCUGGGUGAUUCUGGCGAGUCGUCUCUGCCCAGCAAAAAGACUUACAGGCCAUUAUUUGAAUGGGCCGGUGCAGAGAGAAGAAUGUCAAGCUCCAGAACAAAGUCAGAUGUCACCAUAGCGCACCAGCCAAUCCAGGGAUCGUCUCUGUCUGAGCAGAAUACAACUGCAACUGCUGGAUUCCCAGGACAUCCUGCCAGCACAAUAAUACCCAAGCCCCUCAAAAGCAAACACGACAAUGUCCCCUUGGUGAUUAUGAGGGCGUCAGACCUGUUGAAUGCCUCCAGUGUCUGUGGGACCGCACCUUCCCUGAGGAGAAAGCAGCAGGGACUCUGGGAAGCAAUGCAGGAGACCUGCAGAGAGAGAAGAGCAGCAGAUAUGGAUGGCAGAGCUCCUCCGCCAAGCUGUUCUUUUCCAGCCUCCAGCACAGGCAGCAAACUGUCAUGGCAAACCACUGCAGAGUAAGUAUGCUUGUUCUUUAGAAAGAAGACACCAUCAUUUGAACCAGAAUAAAUGGUCCACUCAAUAGAAAUUGUUUAUUUGUUUCCUAUUGUCAUAUUUGAGUAGAAGCCUGCCCUAAAGGUCAAACCCAUAACUUCAGGCACUUUAUGGAAACUUAGUCAAAGUAAAUAAAAAAUAAUCAGCAAAUUUCAUAGCUCAUAUCUUUGUAUCUACACACCGGAAUGAAAAUGAUCUUUACUAACAUUUUGGCCCAUUCAGUAGUUAAAAGUAUUGACAAAAAACAAGAGUUGUUUUUUGUUUUUCUUGGUUAAAAAUUAUAUUUUAGAAGUUAUUUUAGAAGUUUUAGAAGUUUUCUUAUCAUCUUAUCCUAUUCCAGUGUUUUUCUAAUUUUUGCUAUGUAACUUUGCACUGUCCACCUUCUGCUGUAACAAAACAAAUUUCCCAAUAAAGGUUAUCUUAUUAUCUUAUCUUAAACAUUUUCAUUUAAGUGCAUUACUUCAGUCUAAUGUUAAGGAGAAUUUGUAUAGCUUCAUUUGAAAUGUGUAUUAUUACAUGAGUAAUAAUAUGAUUACUGACUACAAACAAGUUCAUGCUAGUGUUUUCCUUGAAUCAGGUGUAGCAGAGCUCCUACCUUAGCUGCAGGUCCUAGUUCAGAGUCCGACUGGGAACUCUCCUGCUCCCAGGAGAGGGACGACCAACAGGAAUCAUUCAGGGCGCAGAUCUCCAAAAUCGAACAGUUCCUCGAGACAGAGAGGCUCCGUCUGCCCAAAAGACGACGAACUGAACCAAAUCUGUAGAAACUGCUGGUCGUCUUUAUUUGCUGUCCUAGGUGAGACAUUGUGUGGCACACGUUUGACAGUUAUUGUUAGCGCAGGUUUAAAUGUUCUGAAACACGAUUGCUUUUUAAUAUAUACAUGUGUUACUGAUUCCUUUGAACUGUAUAGUUUCUUCUAACAUUGCUGUUUGAAGUUUAAAGUUUUUGGGUUAAAUCAUUAACUCUUCACUUUAUUAUUUUAACAUUUCUGUGCUUUAAAUGGAAAACGGCAGAGUUUGUGUGUUUGUUUCACACGUGCGUAUUUGUAUGUUUUUAAGUGAAGAGAUGAAAAUAAGAUAAGAUAGCCUUUCUAAGUGAUAAAUAUACAAUACUACUACUGCUAUGUUGGAAGGAUUUUAUUUUAUCACACAGUUGCAUGUGAUUAAAGUAAUUUUAUAAAGGCUCCAAUAUCACCAAUGUAAAAAUCCAACAUUUCCAUUCUCUUGUCAUUUAAUUAAAUUACAGGGUUAUGAGUUGUUUUCAAAAUAUUGUAUGUAAAGACUUAGAUAGGAUGCACUACAAGCUUCUGCAGCCUCACUGACACAACACUGACUCAUCAAACCACACAAACAGGACAUCAGUAUGUGUUGCAUUUCUUUUACUGGAAACAUUAUUCACAGUAAAUCAUGCAUUUCAUAGCAAACAGCUGGAUAAGUAAGGACCAAGAGCGCUGUUGCCCAUUAAAAAGGCUGGGAACAUGCUAAUUAACAUUAAUUAACAUCAUAGCCAAUCAGUGUGGCAUGUCUCAGAGGAGCUCUAAUUGUGGAGGCACCUUUGGUCUACACCAUGUUGUUUCUGCUGCUGCUGUUGUUGGAGGCAAUUACAACUCGGGACACUCUGGUUCGACUGUGUUUACACCUAUUAAAUUAAGGGAAAUAACAGUUCAGAUAACAAUUAGCACUAAAUACCCCAACCCUAAUUAACCAAAAAUCAAUUAGUGAACAUACAGUCCAAUUAACACGUUCUAACAAGCCUCUCGUUAACUUUAUGUUCCCUGUGAGGAUGAUGGCGGAAAGAGCAUAUGGCCCCACAAGAGCAUGAAGCAGCUGACCACACAUGUUUGGAUUCUCAUUAGUCUGGUUGCUGCUUAUGUACUGUAGACGUGUGGCAUUUGGCUUCAGCUCACUCGCCUCAGGUUAGUUUAAGUGGGUUUGAGAGUGUUGGACAAAGAGGUUUUUGUAGUAUAUAGACUGUCUAGAUGCAAAUUUCUAUUAGCAAACGGAUCUAUUAAUACAUCUGACUGACAUCAGUGCAGUUUGUAGCCCUAAUUUUCAGCAGUCACAGAGGUACACGAUGCUUUUUUACAGUAUCACCUUCAGAAGACGGGAUAAUUUCAAAAUUAUAAUGUGCUGUUACGCAUUUUUGACUUGGUGAUAAUGUGAAGACAUAAAAAUAUAUAUUCACUUUUUUAAAAUUAUUUUGUUAUUACUUCACUUUUUGGUAGGUCACCAUAUUGAUGCUAAAAAUUAUAUAUAUCAUAAUAUAUUUUUAUAUAGCACAACAACAUAGUUUGUAAAUAUAAUGCAAACAUAAUACAUAAAUCUAAUACCCAUCCAUCAAUUUUUCAGCACUCAUGUAGGGCCAGGUCACUGGGGCGACGGUCUAAGCGGAGAAGCCCAGACCUCAUUAUCUCAACUGCAUAAACAGAAUAACGCAAAGUUCAGUGUUGCAAUGCUUCCUGUUUAACUUCUUACCUGUGCCUGAAAUGCAGCGAGUCAACAGAAUUGUAUGACACUGCCUGAGAGCAUCAGUCAUAUAUGGCUAAUUGUUUUGUACCAACAGCGCUAAGGGUCAUAACAUAGAUUCUGUCAUUCACCAGCUGUAAAUCCGAUACACGGGACUUUGAAGUACGUAAAGAUAUAGUUUUGCUUUCAUUACUGUCCUUUGACACUAUACUGUGAAACAUAGGUUAGCAAAAGUUAACCAUUUGGCUGUGGUAGUUGACCCUUAUGACAACCCCACGCCCCACGCCUCAGAGCAUGCCUACCAACAGAUCCACAGCAGACCUUGUUGACGUUAUAAGAAAAGACUCGAGUUUUCACCAAAUUUCUGCUCGCACGCUAAAAUUAACAGCUAACAUUUCAAUGGUGGUAAAAUGGCUCAGCUUGAUCCAUCUUACUACACUUACUGAUAAUGAAUACGCGUGAACCUUAAUGCACUCAUAAAGAAACCUGGAGCAUUUGAGUGGCUGUGCCCACCACUGCUGACCCUUAUCCAUAUUGGGAGGAAGGGAGAGGAUGGGAGGAGAGGUGGGGGAGGUAUGGAAUAUAAAAGAGUUAAUUUUAAUGCACUUGUGCUCGCAAAAACUCAUACACGAUCUAUAUUUCUCACUCAUACAGUUUUGCCUCUCCUCUUUUACAUAAGCAUGCACAUGGCCACAUACACACAUACAGUCUCUGUUAUGAAGUGUUGGCACUUUGAAACAGUCAAUUACCCUCUGGCUAGGGAGGAUACCUGCUGUUAAUUACUGCUCAGUGUUUUAUAUGGAGCGUAAAUAAAGAGACCGCUGACAUUCACAUUCCAUCAAUGCAUCCCCCAGCUCACACUGUAUUGUGUGUGUGUGUUAUUUGAUUUUAAAAUAACCCUUGUGAGGUAGGAACCAUGGGGAAAAAAGCAUUUUGGAAAGAACGGGUACAAAUCCUCCAACCUGACCAAAAAGAUAUGCUGUUUCCCCGUGAAUUUGCCUUAUAAUAGUAAAUCCUGAAAUAGUACCCCUGCACAGAUAUGCAGUAUAAUAUAUGCAGUUAUGUCUAUGAAGGUUCUCAGUCAUCCAGGUCAUCGUAGUCAAAGGAGCUUGGAAAGAAAAGCGUCUGGACUUCUUUAAGUUGCUUGAAGACGUUUCACCUCUCAUCCGAGAAGCUUCUUCAGUUCUAGGGUCAAAUGGUGGAGUUAAGAUUUUGGUUUAUAGUAAUGUUGAGCUGGGGUUGGCA
ensembl:lncRNA